CCUUUCGGGGGUACACGAGCGGCGAACGGGUGAGUAACACGUGGGUGACCUGCCCUCCACUCUGGGAUAAGCCCGGGAAACUGGGUCUAAUACCGGAUAGGACCACUGAUCGCAUGGUUGGUGGUGGAAAGUUUUUUCGGUGGGGGAUGGGCCCGCGGCCUAUCAGCUUGUUGGUGGGGUGAUGGCCUACCAAGGCGGUGACGGGUAGCCGGCCUGAGAGGGCGACCGGCCACACUGGGACUGAGACACGGCCCAGACUCCUACGGGAGGCAGCAGUGGGGAAUAUUGCGCAAUGGGCGGAAGCCUGACGCAGCGACGCCGCGUGGGGGAUGACGGCCUUCGGGUUGUAAACCUCUUUCGCCAGGGACGAAGAGCAAUUGACGGUACCUGGAGAAGAAGCACCGGCCAACUACGUGCCAGCAGCCGCGGUAACACGUAGGGUGCGAGCGUUGUCCGGAAUUAUUGGGCGUAAAGAGCUCGUAGGCGGUGUGUCGCGUCGGCCGUGAAAACUUGGGGCUUAACUCUGAGCGUGCGGUCGAUACGGGCAUCACUUGAGUUCGGCAGGGGAGACUGGAAUUCCUGGUGUAGCGGUGAAAUGCGCAGAUAUCAGGAGGAACACCGGUGGCGAAGGCGGGUCUCUGGGCCGAUACUGACGCUGAGGAGCGAAAGCGUGGGGAGCGAACAGGAUUAGAUACCCUGGUAGUCCACGCCGUAAACGUUGGGCGCUAG
rnacentral:rRNA from 1 species